UUACACACCGCCCGUCACACCAUGGGAGUGAGUUGCAAAAGAAGUAGGUAGCUUAACCUUCGGGAGGGCGCUUACCACUUUGUGAUUCAUGACUGGGGUGAAGUCGUAACAAGGUAACCGUAGGGGAACCUGCGGUUGGAUCACCUCCUUACCUUAAAGAAGC
rnacentral:rRNA from 1 species